GUCUGGUUCGGUCCUGCAUCUUGAUCCCUUAUGUGAGGAUGGAGACGGAACUGCAGCCGGUAUCACUACCUGAGGACGCCCAAGGGACUAGGAUCCUCUAGGAUACCAACUACCCAAUGUCAUACCUCUCCAGCUUAUGAGUUGUGGAGGUCGUUCUCCUUUCACUCUACGGGACUAAACAUCCUGCUGACAAUCGGUCAGACUUGGUCUUGUAUAAUUUCCCAUUAGAUGGUGUAUACGUGGGCGCUCAACGGGGAAGACCUCCCCACAACGCCGA